GACGAACGCUGGCGGCGUGCCUAAUACAUGCAAGUAGAACGCAGUUGCGAACGGGUGAGUAACGCGUAGGUAACUGCCUCAUAGCGGGGGAUAACUAUUUGAAAAGAUAGCUAAUACCGCAUCCUGUGAGAUGGACCUGCGUUGUAUUAGAUAGUGGGUGCGGUAAAGGCUAACCAAGGCGACGAUACAUAGCCGACCUGAGAGGGUGAGCCGCCAAACGGGGACUUCGACACGGCCCAGACUCCUACGGGAGGCAGCAGUAGGGAAGCAUCGGCAAUGGACGGAAGUCUGACCGAGCAACGCCGCGGGAGUGAAGAAGGUUUUCGGAACGUAAAGCCCUGUUGUGAGAGAAGCGGGAACAAACCAGAAAGGGCCGGCUAACUACGUGCCAGCAGCCGCGGUAAUAC
rnacentral:rRNA from 1 species